GAUGAACGCUGGCGGCGUGCUUAACACAUGCAAGUCGAACGAAGCAUUUGCGACAGAUUUUUUCGGAAUGAAGUUGCUUAUGACUGAGUGGCGGACGGGUGAGUAACGCGUGGGUAACCUGCCUUGUACUGGGGGAUAGCAGCUGGAAACGGCUGGUAAUACCGCAUAAGCGCACAAUGUUGCAUGACAUGGUGUGAAAAACUCCGGUGGUAUAAGAUGGACCCGCGUCUGAUUAGCUAGUUGGUGAGAUAACAGCCCACCAAGGCGACGAUCAGUAGCCGACCUGAGAGGGUGACCGGCCACAUUGGGACUGAGACACGGCCCAGACUCCUACGGGAGGCAGCAGUGGGGAAUAUUGCACAGUGGAGGAAACUCUGAUGCAGCGACGCCGCGUGAGUGAAGAAGUAAUUCGUUAUGUAAAGCUCUAUCAGCAGGGAAGAUAGUGACGGUACCUGACUAAGAAGCUCCGGCUAAAUACGUG
rnacentral:rRNA from 1 species